UGGGCAAUGAUGUAGGCCGGC
rnacentral:miRNA from 1 species